rnacentral:rRNA from 1 species
CCUACCUUUAACUCUGGGAUAGCCCGAAGAAAUUCGGAUUAAUACCGGAUAAUAUCAAGAUAUGACAUCACAGCUUGAUUAAAGGCGCGAGUUGGUUAAAGAUGGGCAUGCGUCCCAUUAGUUAGUUGGGGAGGUAACGGCUCACCAAGGCGAUGAUGGGUAGGGGCUCUGAGAGGAUUACCCCCCACAUUGGUACUGAGACAGGGACCAAACUCCUACGGGAGGCAGCAGUGAGGAAUAUUGGGCAAUGGACGGAAGUCUGACCCAGCCAUGCCGCGUGCAGGAAGACGGCCUUAUGGGUUGUAAACUGCUUUUAUGUAGGGAAAAAGUUCAUAUUGCGAUAUGAUUUGAUGGUACUACAGGAAUAAGAAUCGGCUAACUCCGUGCCAGCAGCCGCGGUAAUACGGAGGAUUCGAGCGUUAUCCGGAUUUAUUGGGUUUAAAGGGUGCGCAGGCGGACUAUUAAGUCAGUGGUGAAAUUUUCCGGCUCAACCGGGACAGUGCCAUUGAUACUGAUAGACUAGAGUAUAAUUGACGUAUGUGGAAUGUACCAUGUAGCGGUGAAAUGCAUAAAGAUGCUACAGAACACCGAUAGCGAAGGCAGCAUACGAAGCUAUAACUGACGCUCAUGCACGAAAGCGUGGGGAUCAAACAGGAUUAAAUACCCUGGUAGUCCACGCUGGUAACGAUGAUUACUG